CUAGGACCCCCAAAGAAAUCUGUGUUCCCCUUCCCUGCCCACCCCACCCUUCCCAGAAUCUGACCCCCUCCCCACAAGACCUGGUUCUGCAGCCUAGGGGCCCUGGCCUUCCCCCAGUUAUCUUCCCCCAACCCAAUCCCUACCGCCCUCCCUGGACUUGGGGGGUUUGGACCUUCAGCCCCUGCCCCCUGGGGGGCCCAGACCUCUGGGCCCUUGCUUCUGGCCCUUGCAGAGACCCGGGAUCCGACACCCCCAUCCCUGCCCAAAUGUCUGAGGUGUUAGUGGUGGGGGGAGAAGCCCACCAUCCCAGACUCUGGUAAAUGUCUUUGCAGCUGGCAGUGGGGUAGACCCCAGCCCAGGACCAGGCCCAGGCCUGGGUGGAGGUGGGGUCAGAUGAAGAAUUCUUCUUUCCUCUUGUGUCCGUCGCUGCCAUUAAGAAAGGCUUCUCUUGCUUCUCCCUGCUCAUCCAGGCCACUGGCCUCGUGGGUCAGAUAGGAGCCUGAGGGGUUACAGACCCCCAGGCAGAGGCGACAUGUAUGUGGAUGCAGGAGUUGGACAGAGAUAUACGGGAAGAGGGAGACAGACAAGACAUACCAGGGGAAGGAAGAUGGAGAAACAGAACAUACAGGGAGAGGGAAUCAAGGCCAGGGCAUAGCGAAACAGGGGCAGAGAAAGAGGUAAAAGCAGAAUUAGGAAGACUCCACAAGUUCAUUGAAAGACCACCCUUAUCCGUUCUCUCAGUGGUGUCCCCUUGCUCUGCUCCCAACAAAUCCAACAAUUAGGAAGAUAAAUUGUUUUAUUCAAACCUAGGGUGAAUUAAUUCACCUUCAACGAUUCAUCCCUUUUAGAGUCGCGACCAAGGUCCGCCCGUUUGGAAUAUUGGCAUCUGGUCCCCCCAAGUCUCGAAUCCCGGAUGUUAGUCUCCCUACCCCCAACCCCUAAUCUCCUGGCUGCACGCCUGCCGUAUUUCCAACCCAGGCUCUGGGCCCCGCCCCCGUCCGAACCCCCAAACCACACCCCUCGCUGGAUUCAGACCCCACCCCCACUCACCCUUCUGCCGUACUGAGCACCAGACCAUGCCCACCAGCACACAUAUGAUCAGAAACACCAGUAGCGCCAGGAUGCCGCCCACAAUGGCGUAGGGCACCGACGUCUGAGCCUCUACCACCGCACCCGGGUCUGCAGAGGGACAGGGCGCGGGACCAGGUCAUCAGAGGACGGUCCCAGCCCGGCCCCACCGCUGCUGAUCUCAUAAACCAAUGCACACAACCAGCCGCGCCUGUACGCGUUACGGCCCUCAAAUCACUGCCACUUCUGGCCCCUUGUCCUGGCUCCAGACUUUCCUGAUGCUCCACUCCCACGAAGAAUGCGUGCAUGUUGGUUGGGGCCAUUCCCACCGCUCUGUAUAUUUAGCUCGAAUGAUCUUCACAGCCCUAUGAGGCCUGCCGCGGCCCGCCCUCACCGUAGACCACGAGUACAUAGAGCGCCCUCGCGUGGCCGUGCUUGUUCGACGCCUCGCAAGUGUAGGUGCCGUUAUCCGCUGAUACCAAGCCUGGCAGCGUAAGCGUCUCCCCGACCGCCUCGGCCCGCUCUGGCAAAGACUCGUUCCCGCGGUUCCAGCGGAUCUGGUUUGGCCUGGGCGUGAGUAAAGCAUAGUGAAAGUUGGGGACACGAGUGCCAACAUCCAGUUCUGACUUCCUCGGUCACCUUUAUGUUGCCUGGAACUAAGAUGUGAUGCCUGGAGUUCUGGCAACCAUUUUGGCAAGAGGACAAAGGCAGUAGGGAUGGUAGAACUAAGAGCUGGAAGAUGCCUGAGUCUUAUCAGGUGAUGAUGUGAAGCUGCCUCAAAACCUCUGGAUGCCUACUUCUGGACUUCUCUUAGGUUUCAAUAUAAUGCUUUGUAGGGGGGUUAUAUUUAAUAUUUAAGACACUAUUAGGGGUUAAUUUAGCACCUCCUGGAAUAUGAAGCUUAGCAUGUCUAGUCCUGGCACCAAAGAUUUUCCUUCCUGUGUUUUUUUUUCAAUCUCAGUAAAUAUCACAACCAUCCACCCAGUUGCUCAGGCCAAAAACCUUUCCCUCACUCUGACACCCAUCCCAUCAGCAAGGUCUACCCAUUCACCUCUAAAGCAAAUCCCAGAUCAUUUCAUUUUUGUUUACCUCCUCUGCCACCACCCUAGUCCGAUGACACCGUCUCUUACCUUAACCUUCUAGAGCUACUCAUGGGGGCUCCCUGCUUCCAUGCCUGCCUCCCCUCAGGCCAUUCUGCACACAGCAGCCAGAUGGGUUUUUCAAGAAGGUGAAUCAGAUCAAGUUGCUAAAAAUGCUCUGAAGGCUGCCCAUGAUGCUUCAAAUAAAAUCUCAACUCCUUCCCUGGGUGCUAUGUGGCCUGGCCCUGCCCUGACCGCAGUUCCAGCCACCACCACCCACCUUCCCACCCCACCCCCCUACUCUCUGCGCUCUAGGCUCACUGGCCUUGACAUUCCUCAGACUCCCUGAGCCUGAUCCCACCUCAGGGCCCUUGCACUACCCUCUGCCUUGCAUGUUCUUCGCCCUUGAUCUUCCCACGACUGCCUCCUGCUCUCUCCUUCCGGUCUCUGCUGACAUCCACACCUCCUUGAUGAGACCUCUACUCACACCCCAUCUCUCUUCCUCCAGAACACCUUCUAUGUCAUCACCAUGGGUUUUAUUUUAUUUUAUUUUAUUU